AAAACAGCGCAGAGAUGUAAUAAACUUAGCUCUAAUAUAGUUUUCUCGGUUUCCUUGCGUUGUCUCUGUAGUUGGCAGAUAACGUCAGAAAAUGGGCGAAGGAUAAAGCCGACCUACAGAUGAAACUAAACGAAAGUCAGGUCGCUCAGAGGACAGGAUACAAAAAUUCGUCCACUUCUGUAGAUAUUCUGGACUGGCAUAAUGGACCAAAGCCAAAUUCACCUUCAAGACAUUUGGGUCCGCGACGACCGUCACCUAAACUGGAUCCUUUGGAGAGAAGAUAGCAUUUAGAACUUAGACAGUCUUAGUGGAUGAUUUCAUGAUCAGAGGACACUGGGCUCCAGCUAGGCAACAAUUA